AGCGGGAUGGCGUAAUUGGCAGCGCAUCGGCCUUUGACGCCGAGUUGUUCGGGUUCGAAUCCCGAUCCCGCUU
rnacentral:tRNA from 1 species